ACCAUCCUUUUCUUGGGGUUGCGCUACUGUCCGAUGAGCGUUUAGCGAGGGCAGUACUGCUAACGCCUAUGCAACACACUCGCACCUGGUGAAGCAACGGUUUUACCUCGGUGCAAUUUUUGGAAAA
ensembl:snRNA U4atac minor spliceosomal RNA